GACGAACGCCGGCGGCGUGCUUAACACAUGCAAGUCGAACGGAAAGGCCCUGCUUUUGUGGGGUGCUCGAGUGGCGAACGGGUGAGUAACACGUGAGUAACCUGCCCUUGACUUUGGGAUAACUUCAGGAAACUGGGGCUAAUACCGGAUAGGAGCUCCUGCUGCAUGGUGGGGGUUGGAAAGUUUCGGCGGUUGGGGAUGGACUCGCGGCUUAUCAGCUUGUUGGUGGGGUAGUGGCUUACCAAGGCUUUGACGGGUAGCCGGCCUGAGAGGGUGACCGGCCACAUUGGGACUGAGAUACGGCCCAGACUCCUACGGGAGGCAGCAGUGGGGAAUAUUGCACAAUGGGCGGAAGCCUGAUGCAGCAACGCCGCGUGCGGGAUGACGGCCUUCGGGUUGUAAACCGCUUUCGCCUGUGACGAAGCGUGAGUGACGGUAAUGGGUAAAGAAGCGCCGGCUAACUACGUG
rnacentral:rRNA from 1 species